rnacentral:rRNA from 1 species
CCUACGAGUGGCAGCAGUGGGGAAUAUUGCGCAAUGGGCGAAAGCCUGACGCAGCGACGCCGCGUGAGGGAUGAAGGUCUUCGGAUCGUAAACCUCUGUCAGCAGGGAAGCACGGUCACUGUGCUAAUCAGCAGUGAAUUGACGGUACCUGCAAAGGAAGCACCGGCUAACUCCGUGCCAGCAGCCGCGGUAAUACGGAGGGUGCGAGCUGUAAUCGGAAUUACUGGGCGGAAGGCGCGCGUAGGCGGUAUGUCAAGUCAAGGGUGAAAUCCCCGCGCUCAACGUGGGAACUGCCUUUGAAACUGGCAAACUUGAGUGUGUGAGAGGAUAGUGGAAUUCCAGGUGUAGGAGUGAAAUCCGUAGAUAUCGGGAGGAACAUCAGUGGCGAAGGCGACUAUCUGGCACAUAACUGACGCUGAGGAGCGAAAGCGUGGGUAGCAAACAGGAUUAGAUACCCCAGUAGUC